rnacentral:rRNA from 1 species
AGUGAACGCUGGCGGUAGGCCUAACACAUGCAAGUCGAACGGCAGCACAGUAAGAGCUUGCUCUUACGGGUGGCGAGUGGCGGACGGGUGAGGAAUACAUCGGAAUCUACUUUUUCGUGGGGGAUAACGUAGGGAAACUUACGCUAAUACCGCAUACGACCUACGGGUGAAAGCAGGGGAUCUUCGGACCUUGCGCGAUUGAAUGAGCCGAUGUCGGAUUAGCUAGUUGGCGGGGUAAAGGCCCACCAAGGCGACGAUCCGUAGCUGGUCUGAGAGGAUGAUCAGCCACACUGGAACUGAGACACGGUCCAGACUCCUACGGGAGGCAGCAGUGGGGAAUAUUGGACAAUGGGCGCAAGCCUGAUCCAGCCAUACCGCGUGUGUGAAGAAGGCCUUCGGGUUGUAAAGCCCUUUUGUUGGGAAGGAAGGGCGGCAGGUUAAUACCCCGCUGUUCUGACGGUACCCAAAGAAUAAGCACCGGCUAACUUCGUG